rnacentral:rRNA from 1 species
UACGGGGGGGGCAAGCGUUGUUCGGAAUUACUGGGCGUAAAGGGCUCGUAGGUGGCCAACUAAGUCAGACGUGAAAUCCCUCGGCUUAACCGGGGAACUGCGUCUGAUACUGGAUGGCUUGAGUUUGGGAGAGGAAUGCGGAAUUCCAGGUGUAGCGGUGAAAUGCGUAGAUAUCUGGAGGAACACCGGUGGCGAAGGCGGCAUUCUGGACCAAUACUGACGCUGAGGAGCGAAAGCCAGGGGAGCAAACGGG